rnacentral:rRNA from 1 species
GACGAACGCUGGCGGCGUGCUUAACACAUGCAAGUCGAACGGUGAAGGGAUCAGCUUGCUGGUUCUGGAUGAGUGGCGAACGGGUGAGUAACACGUGAGUAACCUGCCCCCUUCUUCUGGAUAACCGCAUGAAAGUGUGGCUAAUACGGGAUAUUCUGGGUCUGUCGCAUGAUGGGUCUGGGAAAGAUAUUGUUUCGGUGGGGGAUGGGCUCGCGGCCUAUCAGCUUGUUGGUGGGGUGAUGGCCUACCAAGGCGUGGACGGGUAGCCGGCCUGAGAGGGGGGAGUGACGCAGUGGUAUGGGAAACCGGCCAAGGUGCUCAGGGGGGCAGGCGGUGGGAAUAAUGGCCAAGGGGGGGCAGCCUGAUGCAGCGACGCCGCGUGAGGGAUGGAGGCCUUCGGGUUGUAAACCUCUUUCGCCAGUGAAGCAGGCCUGCUCCUUGUGGGUGGGUUGACGGUAGCUGGAUAAGAAGCGCCGGCUAACUACGU